UAAUGACUCUCGGCAACGGAUAUCUCGGCUCACGCAUCGAUGAAGAACGUAGCAAAAUGCGAUACUUGGUGUGAAUUGCAGAAUCCCGUGAACCAUCGAGUUUUUGAACGCAAGUUGCGCCCGAAGCCAUCCGGCCGAGGGCACGCCUGCCUGGGCGUCACGC
rnacentral:rRNA from 3 species